rnacentral:rRNA from 1 species
UACGGAGGGUGCGAGCGUUGUCCGGAAUCACUGGGCGUAAAGGGCGCGUAGGCGGCCUGAUAAGUAGGGGGUGAAAUCCUGCGGCUUAACCGCAGGGCUGCCUUCUAAACUGUCAGGCUAGAGCACAGUAGAGGCAGGUGGAAUUCCCGGUGUAGCGGUGGAAUGCGUAGAGAUCGGGAAGAACAUCAGUGGCGAAGGCGGCCUGCUGGACUGUUGCUGACGCUGAGGCGCGACAGCGUGGGGAGCAAACAGG